rnacentral:rRNA from 1 species
GACGGGUGAGUAACGCGUGAGAAUCUGCCUUGGGGUCGGGGACAACCACUGGAAACGGUGGCUAAUACCGGAUAAGCCUUUGGGUACAAGAUUUAUUGCCCCAAGAGGAGCUCGCGUCUGAUUAGCUAGUUGGUGAGGUAAAAGCUCACCAAGGCAGCGAUCAGUAGCUGGUCUGAGAGGACGAUCAGCCACACUGGGACUGAGACACGGCCCAGACUCCUACGGGAGGCAGCAGUGGGGAAUUUUCCGCAAUGGGCGAAAGCCUGACGGAGCAAGACCGCGUGAGGGAGGAAGGCUCUUGGGUUGUAAACCUCUUUUCUCAGGGAAGAAGCUCUGACGGUACCUGAGGAAUCAGCCUCGGCUAACUCCGUGCCAGCAGCCGCGGUUAUACGGAGGAGGCAAGCGUUAUCCGGAAUUAUUGGGCGUAAAGCGUCCGCAGGUGGCGAUUCAAGUCUGCUGUCAAAGCACGGGGCUUAACUCCGUUAAGGCAGUUGGAACUUGAAUAGCUAGAGUGCCGAAGGGGUAGAGGGAAUUCCCGGUGUAGCGGUGAAAUGCGUAGAGAUCGGGAAGAACAUCGGUGGCGAAAGCGCUCUACUGGACGGCAAAUGACACUCAGGGACGAAAGCUAGGGGAGCGAAUGGGAUUAGAUACCCCAGUAGUCCUAGCUGUAAACGAUGGAUACUAGCUGUAGCUUGUAUCGACCCGAGCUGUGCCGAAGCUAACGCGUUAAGUAUCCCGCCUGGGGAGUACGCACGCAAGUGUGAAACUCAAAGGAAUUGACGGGGGCCCGCACAAGCGAUGGAGUAUGUGGUUUAAUUCGAUGCAACGCGAAGAACCUUACCAGGGCUUGACAUGUCCGGAAUACCGGUGAAAGCUGGGAGUGCAUUCGGGAGCCAGGAACACAGAUGGUGCAUGGCAGUCGUCAGCUCGUGUCGUGAGAUGUUGGGUUAAGUCCCGCAACGAGCGCAACCCUCGUCUUUAGUUGCCAGCAUUAAGUUGGGCACUCUAGAGAGACUGCCGUCGACAAAACGGAGGAAGGUGGGGAUGACGUCAAGUCAGCAUGCCCCUUACGCUCUGGGCGACACACGUACUACAAUGGUCGGGACAGAGGGCAGCG